CUCCUAAGGCUAAAUACUCUCUAGUGACCGAUAGUGAACCAGUACCGUGAGGGAAAGGUGAAAAGCACCCCGGAAGGGGAGUGAAAUAGAACCUGAAACCGUGUGCUUACAAGUAGUCAGAGCCCGUUAAUGGGUGAUGGCGUGCCUUUUGUAGAAUGAACCGGCGAGUUACGAUUUGAUGCAAGGUUAAGCAGUAAAUGUGGAGCCGUAGCGAAAGCGAGUCUGAAUAGGGCGUUUAGUAUUUGGUCGUAGACCCGAAACCAGGUGAUCUACCCUUGGUCAGGUUGAAGUUCAGGUAACACUGAAUGGAGGACCGAACCGACUUACGUUGAAAAGUGAGCGGAUGAACUGAGGGUAGCGGAGAAAUUCCAAUCGAACCUGGAGAUAGCUGGUUCUCUCCGAAAUAGCUUUAGGGCUAGCCUCAAGUGAUGAUUAUUGGAGGUAGAGCACUGUUUGGACGAGGGGCCCCUCUCGGGUUACCGAAUUCAGACAAACUCCGAAUGCCAAUUAAUUUAACUUGGGAGUCAGAACAUGGGUGAUAAGGUCCGUGUUCGAAAGGGAAACAGCCCAGACCACCAGCUAAGGUCCCAAAAUAUAUGUUAAGUGGAAAAGGAUGUGGCGUUGCCCAGACAACUAGGAUGUUGGCUUAGAAGCAGCCAUCAUUUAAAGAGUGCGUAAUAGCUCACUAGUCGAGUGACACUGCGCCGAAAA
rnacentral:rRNA from 1 species